rnacentral:rRNA from 1 species
AGUGAACGCUGGCGGUAGGCCUAACACAUGCAAGCCGAACGGCAGCACAGGAGAGCUUGCUCUCUGGGUGGCGAGUGGCGGACGGGUGAGGAAUACAUCGGAAUCUACUCUGUCGUGGGGGAUAACGUAGGGAAACUUACGCUAAUACCGCAUACGACCUAAGGGUGAAAGCAGGGGACCUUCGGGCCUUGCGCGGUUGAAUGAGCCGAUGCCGGAUUAGCUAGUUGGCGGGGUAAAGGCCCACCAAGGCGACGAUCCGUAGCUGGUCUGAGAGGAUGAUCAGCCACACUGGAACUGAGACGCGGUCCAGACUCCUACGGGAGGCAGCAGUGGGGAAUAUUGGACAAUGGGCGCAAGCCUGAUCCAGCCAUACCGCGUGGGUGAAGAAGGCCUUCGGGUUGUAAAGCCCUUUUGUUGGGAAAGAAAUCCAGCUGGCUAAUACCCGGUUGGGAUGACGGUACCCAAAGAAUAAGCACCGGCUAACUUCGUGCCAGCCGCCGCAGUAA